GUCAGGAUAGCUCAGCUGGUAGAGCAGAGGACUGAA
rnacentral:tRNA from 16 species